rnacentral:tRNA from 1 species
GAGGGUAUAGCUCAGUGGUAGAGCAUGUGCCUAGCAUGCAUGAGGUCCUGGGUUCAAUCCCUAGUACCUCUA